AAAUGACCAAGAAUGAAGUUGAGUGGAGAGUUUCACCCUGUUGCAAAGGUUGCGUGUGUGUGAGAGAGAGCGAUAGAGAGAGAGAGGUGGACAGAGAGUGAGCUGUGGAAAGAUGUACAUAGAGAAAGAUCCUGUAAUUGAAUCUUGUAGAUGUUAUUACACUCUUGAUCCAGGACACACACACACAAAGGAGUCAGAGUAAGUCACAUGAUCAUGUGUUAUGAAGUCAUCAAUGUAAUUCCAUGCUUUUGCUGAUGAGAUUUAUUUUCACAAAUGUCACAUCGUCUGUGAGAGCCCUUUGAUUAUUUCUUCAUCUCUCUCAAAAGAAACUCUAGAAAGAUCACAAAGGCAGGUGGUCCCUAGACUGUGUGUUCUUAUUUCCUAUGUCUCUAGUUUACAAGUGUUCACUAGUUUACAGGUGUUCAUUAGUUUACAGGUGUUCAUUAGUUUACAAGUGUCCAUUAGUUUACAGGUGUUCAUUAGUUUACAAGUGUCCAUUAGUUUACAGGGGUUCAUUAGUUUACAGGGGUUCAUUAGUUUACAGGUGUUCAUUAGUUUACAAGUGUCCAUUAGUUUACAGGUGUUCACUAGUUUACAGGUGUUCAUAGGUUUACAAGUGUCCAUUAGUUUACAAGUGUUCACUAGUUUACAGAUGUUCAUU
ensembl:lncRNA